UAAAUCAAUGCGAAUGCAUUCCAUUUAUAUUCAGCCUCCACGGUGCUAUUGGUCUCCUUCGCCUCUCGGAUCCUACAGAAAGAUGGCUUACAUGGUGGGAGUGCAAUUAUCAGAACCUGUUAUGAAGGCAAUGGAAAUGACACACUGGACAAGGUUAAAAUGGUUUGCUUAAGGACUCUUUCAAGUGUCCUGAUGACUAAAUGGUAUGACAGGAUCCUAGUGGCUGAAUGAGCCCCAGUAGAUGCAGAACAAUGAUCUGGUGUGGCUAGAAGCAUGAUGCAAUCUGAAAAGAAACCAUUGAAUCAGAAGCGGUGGAAACAGGCAUGAUGGCUUGGAAGUUGUGGCGCUGUCCCUGUCAGGUGACUGGAUGGUGAAUUCACAACUAACUUGUAGUGUGGCUGUUCAGAACAAGAAAUGGGAGGGCUAUCGGAAGGUGCUGAAACACUACCAUGGGAGGCAGCAGUCUGUUGGUUUUUCUCCUGAUUGUUUUGGAUGCAUAUGUGCACUAAUUGUAGUCUCUGUUAGAAUGUUUCACCUGUGCGACUUACUGCUCUUCCACUUUUAGGUACCCAAUCAAAACCAGAAACUGGUGUUUUGGUCCUUAUUUUAACUGUCAAUUUGUGGAUUUUUAAUUAGUAUUUUCUUAGGCAAAUCUAGUGGACCUCUAUUGCAGACUAGUGAUUUUAAUCUAGUAAGACCUUAAAUGUUUUGGUUACAAUUGUCAAUAAAAUGAAUGAAUGCAUGUCUAACAUGUCAAUGUUAGAAAUUAAUUGAUGGCAAAUCGGGGUGUUUUCCAUAUGGAUUAAUUUGGAUGUUCAGUGAAUUCUUUGCUUAGUAAACCAUUGCAUUUGGCGGUCAAUUAAUGUGAAUAAACAUUUACGUUAUUCUUA